rnacentral:lncRNA from 1 species
CUACUGAGAACACAUGCAUUUUUUUAGUUGCUGGAAGUACCAAUGUCAAGGAUAAUUUAGUUUCGAAAAAUAGGUUCUGUUGUUGUUUGCAUAGUUUUGAAGAAUGUGUCUGAAUAGAAUGUAAUCUUAGCUCCAAGGCCCUUAGAUUGACAUGUUUCGCCUUGUUCUACUUCUUGAAGAAGGCCUGAUUUUCAUCAUUGUAUGAAAACUGUAAUUCCCUUAAAUCGAUCAUGUAAGGCAUAAUAAUGGAUAAAGCAUAUGAAGUUGCAGUAUGGGUGCUUUGCUUCCCUGAAC